rnacentral:rRNA from 1 species
UACGGAGGGCGCGAGCGUUAAUCGGAAUUACUGGGCGUAAAGCGCGCGUAGGCUGUUGUGUAAGUUGGGGGUGAAAUCCACGGCUCAACCGUGGAACAGCCCUUGAUACUGCGCGACUUGAAUCCGGGAGAGGGUGGCGGAAUUCCAGGUGUAGGAGUGAAAUCCGUAGAUAUCUGGAGGAACAUCAGUGGCGAAGGCGGCCACCUGGACCGGUAUUGACGCUGAGGCGCGAAAGCGUGGGGAGCAAACAGG